GUACACGCUGUGACUAGCAUAUCAAUAAGCGGAGGAAAAGAAACUAACAAGGAUUCCCCUAGUAACGGCGAGUGAAGCGGGAAGAGCUCAAAUUUGAAAUCUUAAAGGGUUUCCCUUUACGAAUUGUAGUUUAAAGAAGUGUUUUCUGUUGAGGUUUUGGUAAAAGUUCUUUGGAAUAGGACAUCAUAGAGGGUGAGAAUCCCGUAUUUGACCUUUACUUUCAACUUUGUGAUACACUUUCAAAGAGUCGGAUUGUUUGGGAAUGCAGUCCAAAAUGGGUGGUAAAUUUCAUCUAAAGCUAAAUAUUGGCGAGAGACCGAUAGCGAACAAGUACCGUGAGGGAAAGAUGAAAAGAACUUUGAAAAGAGAGUUAAACAGUACGUGAAAUUGUCAAAAGGGAAACGUUUGACACCAGUGUUGUUUUUCUGAAAAUCAAUUAAAGAACUGUUUAUGCUAAGCUGUUUAGACUUUAUCAGCUAAUCUGUUUAGUUUUGAGCUUUCUUUAAUGCACUUUUCAGUUAACAAGUCAACAUCAAUUUCUUUUGCUGUAAAAAAGCUUGAGGAAGGUGGCUUGAGAUUCGUCUUAAGUGUUUAUAGCCUCUUGCCUAUGCAGUCGGAGAGAUUGAGGUCUGCAGCGUAGAUCCUUCGGGGCUAAAUGCAUUUGUGCUAAGUUAUAGCAUUUUAUAGACAACUUGUUGACUAUGAUUUGUCUUGUAGCUUACUCGCUUAUGUUAUUUUACCUACGCUUAGGAUGUUGACUGAUAUGUAGUCGUA
rnacentral:rRNA from 1 species